rnacentral:rRNA from 1 species
UAACGCGUGAGGAACCUGCCUUUCAGAGGGGGACAACAGCUGGAAACGGCUGCUAAUACCGCAUAACACAAUAGGUGUCGCAUGGCAUUUAUGUCAAAGAUUUAUCGCUGAGAGAUGGCCUCGCGUCUGAUUAGCUAGUUGGUAGGGUAACGGCCUACCAAGGCGACGAUCAGUAGCCGGACUGAGAGGUUGGCCGGCCACAUUGGGACUGAGAUACGGCCCAGACUCCUACGGAAGGCAGCAG